CAAUCUGCCUUGGAGUGGGGAAUAACGGCUGGAAACAGCCGCUAAUACCGCAUGAUACAGCUGGGAGGCAUCUCCCUGGCUGUCAAAGAUUUAUCGCUCUAGAGAUGAGCUCGCGUCUGAUUAGCUAGUUGGCGGGGUAACGGCCCACCAAGGCGACGAUCAGUAGCCGGACUGAGAGGUUGGCCGGCCACAUUGGGACUGAGACACGGCCCAGACUCCUACGGAAGGCAGCAG
rnacentral:rRNA from 1 species